GGGCAGUCAGCAUCAAACUUCCCUAUUCAAACAUCGCUUCUCAAAUUUGUGCGAUUGUCCUUUUAAACACUGCGUUUGGAUCUCUGAUAUGGAGGAUAUGUUGUCAUUCUGGGAUGUGGCUAUAUAUUUCUCUGGAGAGGAGUGGGAAUACCUGGGUCCUGCUCAGUGGAAUUUAUACAGGGACGUGACAUUGGAGAAUUACAACAACCUUGUGUUUCUGGGUCUUGCUUCCUCUAAGCCAUACCUGGUCACACUUCUGGAGCAAAGACAAGAGCUUUCAGAUGUAAAGAGACAAGUGGCCAAUUCUAAAUACUCAGACUCUCUGGCCCGGAGCUCCCGAAUCUCUCUACACAGCUUGCUACGAUCCCAUGGUAGGUCACUACCACGCCAGCC
rnacentral:lncRNA from 1 species